UACGGAGGGGGCAAGCGUUGUCCGGAAUCAUUGGGCGUAAAGAGCGUGUAGGCGGCUUGGUAAGUCCGCUGUGAAAGUCCAGGGCUCAACCCUGGAAUGCCGGUGGAAACUGUCAGGCUCGAGUCCGGAAGAGGCGAGUGGAAUUCCUGGUGUAGCGGUGAAAUGCGCAGAUAUCAGGAGGAACACCAAUGGCGAAGGCAGCUCGCUGGGACGGUACUGACGCUGAGACGCGAAAGCGUGGGGAGCAAACAGG
rnacentral:rRNA from 1 species